rnacentral:lncRNA from 1 species
AUUAAACAAAACCUUUUCUCUCUCUCCUCCUUAGCUUCUCAAACUCCCACUACUCUCAAGAAAAUCCUGUCAAAUGUCAUCUUUUCUUCUCUUUCUUCUUCGGUGGCAAAGGGCUCCUUUUUGCGUUCUAAGGUAAGUUAAAAUUAAGUUUCGAUUAUUUGUAAAUUCAUUUUAGCGGUUUUUAUUUGUUAUCCGUUUUGUACAUGAUGUAGUAUGGGAAUUUUUUUGAAUGUGAUUAAUAAAAAAUUAAAAUAUGAGAAUUUUAUAGGUAAUUAGUUUGAUUCCAUAGCAAUAGUUGAGUUUUGAUUCCGCAAUUCAACAAAAUUUUUCGUUGAUCACGCUGUUGAAUUUUGAAAUUUUUAUUGAAAAGUUCUUCUUUAAUUAUGAUAUUGUUUUAGCACUGCAGUGUUGAAUGGUGAGAUAAUUCUCAAUUUCUUAGUUAUUUUGGCUAUUUGAAUCGGACAUUGACCUGUUUUUGUUUGUAGACUUGUGGUAUAUGAAUUAACAAUUCCCUAGAUAGAAAUAAUUUUUUAGGUAUAUGAAAUUAUUUUAAAAUAUGAUUGAUUAAAUACUGAAAAAUAUAAAAUUUUUAUAGCUAAUUAGUUUGAUUUCGUAAUAAUAGUUGAUUUUUGAUUUCGCAUAUUUGAUUGAAAAUUUUUCGUUGAUCAUGCUGUUGGAUUUUGAAUACUUUUCUAAUAAAUUUGAUUUAGUUCUGAUAUUUUUGUGUAGUGAACUGUUUAAUGGUGGGAUAAUUCUUAGUUAUUUUGGCUUUUUCACUUGAGCAUUGAACUGUUUCUGUUAGUAGACUUGUGGUCUAUGAAUUGACAAUGACAGAAGUAUUUUUAGGUAUAGAUUCUGUAAAAAAAAAUAGGUAAAGCUAGAGCUAGUAUUAAACUCACUAUUGGUACCACAUUUCAUUCUGCUUCUAGCAGUAGAGAAAAAAAAGUAAGGCUGUUGAAAAUGCCUCUAAAAAAAAACUGAAGCGAAAGAGUCAGAAUCAAAAUCGGAGAUCAUAAAGGACAUAAAUAGAUAUGUCGAUGAGUCUAGUGAUGAUGUUGCUGAGUGUAGUGGUAGUGAUGAUAGUGAAGGGGGUGAGGGUAGUGAAAAAAUAAUACUGAUGGGGACAAUGAUCCCUUGUCCGUGCCAUUUUUUUCAAGGUACAUUUUCAUGGGGCGACAUGUGUUGCGCACACGCAAGUGUACGUGGUCUCACCAAGUGGUAAAGUGGCCCUUUAGAAACGAAGUAUCGAUCUCACAGGGACUAGUGUUAAGAUACUAUCCAACUUUAGUUUAACUAUUGAGAUUAAAGUGGUGUAAAAGUAAUCGAAAGAGUUUUAGAGUUGUAAACUAAUGUAAAGUAAACAAUGCAUAAAAUUAAAAGUCUUAUACAAUCAACGAGGAGAAACCCAGGAUUAAAGCACUGCGAACAAUCAUACUAAGCUAUUGAACUUCAUUGGUUAGAUUACUUAACUUGGUUGUUGAUUCGCAAGGUUUAUAGUAUGAUCAUGGUCUCCCAAUCCUCUAAUCUUUUACCUAACUGGACAUUACAACUACAUCAUUGAGCGGGGAUGCAAUAAUCCAUUUAGAUACAUUAAUAUGUCAUCCUACAAGUGAACCAAAUAAGGCUUCUAGGUAUAUCCCUAUCCUAGACGCUAAUUUAAAUCCCUUAUUUUAUAAAAGAAUAAGAACCUUACUUUACUUAUCCCCAUGUUCUAUUCUCUUAUUCCCCCUCUCGAGUUCAUAAAGACGACAAUGAAUGUAUUAUAAGGAUUGUGAAUCCUUAAAAUAGUUAUAACAAGGAUAAAUAAACAACCAAAUAUUAUAAGCAAUCAAAACCAAAUCAAUUCAAAGCAAUAGUAAUCAUGUUCUUGGCCUUAACCCUGGAAAGAGGGCUUUUAACCGCUCAUGGAUAUAAUUAUAAUCGUAAAGAUAGAAAACAUGCUAAAAUCCACAAACAAACUAAAGUAAGGAUAUAAAACCCCUAAUUGAAGUGCUUUACAUCCCCUAUCCAGGCUUUAAAGCCGUCCAAGAUGUAUAACAUCAAGUUCAAGUGUCCUAUUUAUAAGAGGACAGAACUGCCGAAAUUGACCUAGGGUCCGCGUCGCGAAGCUCAUAGCGGGGACUUGGGUGCGCGACGUGCCCUCAUCAUAGAUAAACACUAUUUUUGGUCCCUUAUUGAGCUACCUAUGUGUGGAAUGCUCCCAAUAUCCAUGGCUUGGGUCAGAUACGCUCUAUGGACAUCCAAAGUAUUUGUUUUACAUCAAAUCUUGUCCCGUGCUUUCGUUGAUCCAUUCCAAGUCAUUUUGUAAUGUUUCCACUUGAUUUACAGCUUUUAUAUCAUUCAUAUAUCAUAAUAAUCAACUCACCAAGCAUCCUAUAGCAUUAAACACCACAAAUUAGAUCUCAAAACAACACACAAUCCAUGACGGUGAACUAGAAAUUUAAGCUAGGAACUAGUUUCAUUCUAUUAAUCUUUAGCUUAGUGUUUUGACUCUUAGCUUGAUUUAAUUGAGAUUUAAACAUUAUAAACAAGUUGUUCCAGACAUAAUUACACAAUCAAACCAUUAGUAACUCAUUACACAUACUAGAAUCCAUCGAUAUCAACUAGAACAACACCUAGCUCAAGCUAGUAGCAUUAGUUUUCUCAUUUGAACUCUAAAUGGCCACAUUAAGUACCAACUUGUUUUAAAGACACCAUAAACAUUGUAAUGAAGUACUUAAACACUUAUAUGUUCAAUUAUAUCAUUAUUCACUCAUUAAGCACACAAGUAGUUCUCAAAAUAAGGCUAGAUAAGCCCGAAUAACAAUACUAAGGAGCAUAAAUCCACCUCAGAUCAUCACCCUACACUUAAAGCCUUGUUCUUCCUCGAAUAACUAUUUACUAUAAACAUCAUAAGCUGAGGUGACUCCACACUUCUACUUCAAGCAAUACACUCAAUCUAGUACUAAAAUGACUACACAAAAUGCAAGUCCUUACACUAAGCAUGUUACAUACACAAUUGAAAGUUCACGAACACUACUUUAAAACAUCAUAGCCUCAAGAAGUGACUCACUAAGUUGGCAAACUCUUGAAUAUUUCUCAAUUAAAUACUUCAUAUAAAUCACUCAAAUAUCAUCAAACAUGUGCCCUCACAACAAGAGAGUUACCCAUAAGCACUCACAUAGAUGUAAUAUAUCACAGAAUGGGUAUAAGAAUCAAGUUACGCUCUCUCUCAUAAAGAAUUCACAAGGUACACAAGGUGAAACAUAGGCUUUUCCUUAAUGUAGUACUCCACUAAGAUCAAAAUGAUGAAGCUUAGGAUCAAAUAGGUCUUUAAGAGUUAUAAUGUAGGCUAAGGGACGGGUAGGAACUAUUUUGGCCAAGAAUAGUGACUAUCUUCCCUAAGCGCUUUAAUACAUCACACUUUUCAUUCAAUUCACCUUUAACAACCAAUUUCCACAACUUUAAUCUACCCCUAUAUUUUGUUUUGCCCCAUCUAAUUAAGCAUAUUCACAUAUACUAUGGUGGGAGUAUUGUCUAUUAAUUCAUGAUUCAAUUUUACCCUUCUUUACACCCACUUUAUGUUACGCACCCCUAUGAUAGCCACCCUCAACUUAAGUGAUUUGCCUUAGUUGAGGUGCACAAUGUCCAAGGAGGACCAGGGUCAAAACAGGUUCAUUGUAACAUAAAUGGGCUAAAAAUAGGAAUUUUUUUAGCAUAAAUUUCUCUUACUCCCAACCACAACACAUAAAUUAUACACACCAAUAACUAUUACUUUGGGGCUUCACUUUCACCUUUCUCCUACUUGAAUUUCAAACUCUUUAACUCGACUAAUUUUACUCUAAAGCGCGUAGGAGCUUUGGAUCAAAUUAAGGUCUAUCAAAGAAGGGGAUACGGGAUACAUAUAAGGCUGCCAAAGAAAAUAAGCUAAAGGCUCAAUGGGUUUAACUAGGAUUAUGCAUAACGGUAAGUAAAAGGGGGGUAUGAAAUAUGGGUAUCAACUAAGUGCCUAUAUCAUCUCUUAAAUCCAUACUCUUUAUUUCACUUUGCAUACACACCAGGCAAGUUCUAGACAUCAAGUACAACAAGUAAUGCACAAAAAAACCUCAUACACAUGGCACAUGCUUAACUCAAGUAGGAUCACCAUAGGCUCUCAACCAAACAAUCAUAUGAAUUCAACGUUAAGCUAACAAGUACAAAAGUCAUAAUCAUAAGCCUAAGAGUCUCAAAAGUAGCAAUUCACACAAUCAACAUACUUUUACAAUCAAAACAUUUGCGUCAUGUAAUCACAUAUAGCACCAACAAGAACAUCUUACUUAUUCCUAACAUAAUUUUUUUAAAAUUACUCCUAAAAAUGGGAAUUUCCUACCCCAUACUGAAAAAUCUACUUUGUUCCCAAAGUAUACUUAAAAGUAGAGAUGCAAUUACUCCUGAGGCCUCUAGGCCUAGCUAGUAGCAUCUUCAUACAUCAAGGGAGUCCAAGGACCCCAUACUCAGCCUUUGCUAUGCUUCUUAGCUUAGAUUUUUUGGUACUCAGACUUUCCAUCAACCUGUGACUCAACAAAAAUAAAAAAACUAGUGAAGUAAAUACUAAAAUGAAAACCUACCUUAACUUGGGUUGACUCUAAAGCAGCGCCUGAUUUAGUGUCGCGGAAUGACCCAAUCAAAUUUUCCCUCCACCUUGAGGAUAUAAAUUUCAGCCCCAACCUCACAUCUAUUUUUUCUCUCCGCUCAUAGGAUGGUGGUACAAUGAUGAGUAAACCGAGUAAUGAAUGGAGCAUGAUAAACCACUCAUCCUUAAUGUGAGGUAUGUUUUUGUGUUGCUUUUCUGGUGCACAAUUAAGAAUAUAGAAUUCUUGUUCCUUAUCUUUACUCUCUUUCAUUAUUUCAGAUGACUCCACAAAUAUGUCAUCAUCUAAACAUAAUGUAUAAAAGUUCUUUUUUAAUAAGGCCCAACCAAUCCCACUUUAAAAUUUACACCAUCCAUAACACACUCACUCUUAUUCACCUUCUCAAUUUUAGUCUCAAGAUAAAAAUGACAGUGGAAUGGCUAAAAUUCUUAUAUUUUCUCCACGAAUUAGCUAGUAUCCUCCUGUGCUUUUCUCUGCCUCUAUGGAAAUGGUGGUAGUGGUAUCUCCUUAACCUGUUCAAAAACUUUAGUUUUAAGUGCUAGAACUUCCUUGAAUAAUCAGCAACUUUGUCUGUAAUCGGUUGAGGAGUCAACUCUGCAUCUGCCUCCUUAGUUGUAUUUGGAGGUUCUUCAUUAAUGUCUUUACCAUUUCUCAAAGUGUUUUUUAUUACUUGUUUAGGAGGUUUAAUGUCACUUAGAAAACCACCUUGAUACCUGGCAUUUUGUGCCUGUUGUAUCUUCUCCAACUAAUUCUCCAACUACUCCAGAAUUAUUUGACAAUUUUUAAGUUCAACAACCAACUAUUCUUGGGUGUCCAUGAUCUUCUUUAGCAUUUUCUCUAUGUUACUAUCCUAUGUGUUUUGAUGUUGCUGUUGAAACUGCUGCUAGUGAUUGUUCCAUGAUUGAAUUGGUGGCUGAGUCUGCCACUUUUGAUUGUAGGCUUUCCCAUAGUAUGAACUUUGAGCAUUGCCCACAAACAUCACUGACUCAGGAUUGGCAACACACAUAGCUGCAGAAUGACCACUAUGGCAACAAACCUCACCAAACUUAUGGUCUGUUCCACAGAUAAGAUAGUAUCCACUUCAUAUUGUGAAGGUCCCAUCCACGAGCUUUCAUCAAAAUCUGGACAAAAAUCCUCUUGAUGAGGUCCCCCACAAAAAUAUAAGAAUCUUCAUCACUCGAAAACCAUUUAUCCCAGGCUGCCAUAUCAGGAAGUGUGAUAAAAAAAGUAAAAGAAAAUAAAAGAAAAAAAAUAAUAAACUAUGUACAACUCAAUAUAGAUAAAUUAAAAAUAAGAUAGUUUUCUAUUUACAAGUCCCCGGCAAUGGCGUCAAAAACUUGUUGUGCCCAAGCACACACGCAAGUGUACAUGGUCUCACCAAGUAGUAAAAUGGCCCUUUAGAAGCCAAGUAUCAAUCCCACAGGGACUAGUGUUAAGCAACUAUCCAAUUUUAGUUUAACUAUUAAUAUUAAAGUGGUGUAAAAGUAACCGAAAGAGUUUUAGAGUUGUAAACUAAUGUAAAGUAAAUAAUACAAGAAAGUAAAAGUCUUGGACAAUGAAUGGGGAGAAACCCGGGAUUAAAGCACUGCAAACAAUCAUACUAAGACGUUACACUUCAUUGGUUAGAUUACUUAUCUUGGUUGUUGAUUCGUAGGGUUUACAGUAUGAUCAUAGUCUCCCGAUCUUUUAAUCUUCUACGUGACUGGAUAUUACAACCACAUCAUUGAGUUGGGAUGCAAAACUCCAUUUAGAUGCAUUAAGAUGUCAUCCUAUAAGUGAACCAAAUAAGGCUUAUAGGUACAUCUCUAUCCUAGAUGCUAAUUCAAAUCUCUUAUUUUAUAAAAAAAUAUGAACCUCACUUUACUUAUCCCCAUGUUCUAUUCUCUUAUUCCCCCUCCUAAUUUCACAAAGACGACAAUGAAUGUAUUCUUAGGGUUGUAAAUCCUUAAAUAGUUAUAACAAGGAUAAAUAAACAAUAAAAUAUUAUAAGAAAUCAAAACCAAAUCAAUUCAAAGCAAUAGUAAUCAUGUUCUUGGCUUUAACCCCGGAAAGGAGGCUUUUAGCUGCUCAUGGACAUAAUCAUAAUCACAAAGAUAGAAAGCAUGUUAAAAUCCACAAACAAACUAAACUAAAGAUAGAAAAAAACCUAAUUGAAGUAUUUCACAUCCCAUCUCCAAGAUUCAAAGCCGUCCAGAUGUAUAACAUCAAGUUCAAGUAUCCUAUUUAUAGGAGGACAAAACUGCCAAAAUUGACCUAGGAUCCGCGUCGCGGAGCUCAUAGCGGGGACUAGGGUGUGUGAUGCACCCUCAUAAUCAAGACACACUGUUUUUGGUACCUUAGGGAGAUACCAAUGUGUGGUACACACCCAAUAUCCAUGUCUUGGGUCAAAUACGUGCCAUGGACAUCCAAAGUGUCCGUUUUACAUCAAAUCUUGUUCGAUGCUUUCUUUGAUCCAUUCUAAGCCCGUUUGUGUUGUUUUCACAUGAUUUACAGCUUUUAUAUCAUUCAUAUAUAUUCAUAAUCAACUUACCAAGCAUCCUAUAGCAUUAAAAACCACAAAUUAGAGCUCAAAACAACACACAAUCCACAACGGUGAACUAGAAACUUAAGCUAGGAACUAGUUUCGUCCUAUUAAUCUUUCGCUUAGUGUUUUGACUCUUGGCUUGAUUCAAUUGAACUUUAAGCAUUAUAAAAAUAAUUUCCAUACAUAAUUACAGAAUCAAAUCAUUAGAAACUUAUUACACACACUGAUAUGAAUCAACCCACGAGAACUCGAAUCUAAUAUGCGAAAAAUAAAGAUAGAAGGAUAGAAUAAUCAAGAUAGAAAGAUAGACACGAAAUUAAUACUGAAAGGGCAAUCAAAGGAUGUAUCAAAUCCUAAGAACUCCCUUAAUGACUAUCAAUAGGCACCUAACUCUUACGGUGACCGCAAAGAGGAUUAGAUCGCCCUUACAACCAACGUUUCUUAGCAUGGUUCAACAAAUGCUUUUCUAAGCACUCAAACACUUCCACGGAGUCGGAUGAAUACAUCAUGUAAAAAUUAUCAUAAAAAAACUAUGGAAAUAAGCCUAUCUACCAAGCAUUUAUAGUUUGGCUACAUAUUACAUUAUUAGGGCCCAAAAGUGACCCUAAUAUAAGAAAAGACCCACUAGGAGUUGUUUUGACCCGUUCUUGAAAUGCUAGAGCGGGUCUAAAUCUGCUUGGGUGCAUGACCCUUCCAAAGGGAUUAAGAGCCCCAUUUUGCACUCCUUCAACCUCACCAAAGUCCUUUGACCCUCUUUAAUGGUAAUCUUCCUCCAUGUGGUAUCUUUUAAAAGCACUAAGGAGUCAUCAAGAACCUCGAGCAUCAUACAUAUCUCAUCCAAAGGUCCGAAGGCAAUUUGGCUUGUAUCACACACUAGAAUCCAUCGAGAUCAACUAGAACAACACCUAGCUCAAGAUAGUAACACUAGUUUUCUCAUUUGAACUCUAAAUGGCCAUAUUAAGUAUCAACUUGUUUGAAAGACUCCAUAAAUAUUGUAAUCAAGUACUUAAAUACUUAGAUGCUCAAUUAUAUCAUUAUUCACUCAUUAAGAACUCAAGUAAUUCUCAAAACAAGGCUAAAUAAGUCUAGAUAACAAUACUAAGGAGCAUAAAUCCACCUCAGAUCAGUAUAACCUUCGAACUUUGAUGGACGAGGUUGAAUCUUUUCUGCCAAAGAUAUUGGCUAGAUCAAGGAUGGCUGCAUAUCGAGAAUUUAAGUAAAUUCUUGUUGACCAAUAUUUAAAGAAAAGAUUUAAGCAGUCUUGUUUUGGACAUUUGAGAAGCCUGUCACAACAUCUUAAAUUCAAUGGACGGAUGAUCCAUUAUUUGUUGUUGCAGCAUGUUAAGAAUGAUAAGAUACUUCACGAGAUGUGAUUUUGUGUGAACAAUAAGCCUGCUUGUUUUGACUUAAAGGAGUUUUGUUUAAUCAUGAGGCUGAACUACUCAUCAUACCCCCACUGAAUCAAAAUUGAAGAAGGUGCUAGAGAAGGGAGAAUAUUUUUGCUUUAAGGUGACGAAAAAUAAAAAUAUUAUGUCGGCCAACUUGUUACAGUUUAUUAAAGGGAAUAAGUUGAACAAGGACUAAAAUUUUAUGUGUUGUUUAAUGUGUUUCUUUUACACCGUGUUGCUUGUAAAAGAUUCGACAAAGGUUGUCGACAUAAAACUGAUUUGGAUGGUGGAUUCUUUGAGUUUCUUCGAGAUUUAUCCAUGGGAAAAAAAGACAUUUCAAUCAUGGAUUAUAUAAAGAAGAAAACUAACCUAAAGAAGCAGAGGGAAAUAUUUCAAUUGAAAAUUUUGCUAGAAAAUCAAUAGAUGAGCCCUUUCCCAUUUCCUGCAUCCUCAUAUGGCACACUAUAAAAAGUGAUAAGAUAAUUGAAGGCGACCCAUUCAAGUAUAAAGAAAAAAUUAUUCAUCUAUGAACUUAUUUUUUAUUAUUCAAUAAUACUACUGUAAUAUUGAAUGUUAUGCAAUUUUUUAAUUAUUUUUUGUAGAACAUACACCCAUACGUCAUUCCUACUGUACAUGAGAUGAAGAUGGAUUACAUGGUUAUGUUUAAGCCAUAUAAAUAUGAGUUAAAGAAUAAAUUCCUAGAUGGAUUGAAGAAAGAUUUAGAAGGGGUAACUUCACUUACUUCAAACGGGGGCAUUAAUAAUGAUGGAGAUUUUGGUGGUAACCCUAUGGGAGUACGCAUUGGUGAUGAUGCUUCUCCGAGUACAUCAAAAGUUAUAGUGGGCACCUUUGCCAACGAAAAUUUGAAUAAUUGUGUUGCUGUUCUUGAGGAAAUUGUGUUAAAUAUUUCCACCUAUAUCAAAUAAAGACUGAAAAAGAAGAAAGGAAUGAGCAACAACAUGAGCAAGGUAACUUCAUUUAAUAAUUGAUAUAGUUAAUGAAUUUUCAGCUGUGAAUUUUACUAAAACUUUUUAAUAUGAUAUAGUGCAUGCGGACCUUCAUGAAGCAGAGAGUAAUGAGAAGGAAGGAAAAAAGUAAAAUGGAUGAAUUGGCCACUAUUGUGGUAGAAGAGGAAAAAGAAGGAUGAAGAAAAAGAAUCAGGAGAGAAAGAAGAAGAAAAUGAUAAGAAUGAAGAAGAAACUGAAAAAGAAGUAACAUCAGGUGAAGAAGAGAAAGGUGAGGAAAAAGAAGAAGCUGAGAAAUAAAAAGUAGUAGAAGUUGAGAAAGGAGAAUAAGAAGGUGAGAAAGAAAAAGGUGGAAAAAAUGUUGAAGAAUUAAUUAAAACAGCUAAAGAAGGAAAGGAAGAAGCAGCAGAAAAGAAAAGAACCUUGCAAAAAAAUGAAGAAUAGAAAGAAGAAAAAGAAGAAACGGACAAAGAAGAGACAAAACAAGAGAAGGAAGAGGAGAAAGAAGAAGAGAAGAAGGGGGAGAAGAAUAAAAUUCUCAUGAUGUGGUCAUGAAUAUCGUUAAGUACAUCAACGAUAACAUUUGUGAUGAUGAGAAAAAAGACAUUUGACUAUCAAUGUUUAUGUAUUUUUUUAUUUGAUAAAUAAAG